rnacentral:rRNA from 1 species
GUUUGAUCCUGGCUCAGGAUGAACGCUAGCUACAGGCUUAACACAUGCAAGUCGAGGGGUAGCAGGGUAGCAAUACCGCUGACGACCGGCGCACGGGUGAGUAACACGUAUCCAACCUACCAUUCACACGGGGAUAGCCUUUCGAAAGAAAGAUUAAUACCCGAUAGUAUAACGAUAAGGCAUCUUAUUGUUAUUAAAGAAUUUCGGUGUUUGAUGGGGAUGCGUUCCAUUAGAUUGUUGGUGAGGUAACGGCUCACCAAGUCUUCGAUGGAUAGGGGUUCUGAGAGGAAGGUCCCCCACAUUGGAACUGAGACACGGUCCAAACUCCUACGGGAGGCAGCAGUGAGGAAUAUUGGUCAAUGGACGAGAGUCUGAACCAGCCAAGUAGCGUGAAGGAUGAAGGCCCUAUGGGUCGUAAACUUCUUUUAUAGGGGAAUAAAGUGCGGAACGUGUUCCGCUUUGUAUGUACCCUACGAAUAAGGAUCGGCUAACUCCGUGCCAGCAGCCGCGGUAAUACGGAGGAUCCGAGCGUUAUCCGGAUUUAUUGGGUUUAAAGGGAGCGUAGGUGGAUAUAUAAGUCAGUUGUGAAAGUUUGCGGCUCAACCGUAAAAUNGCNGUUGAUACUGUAUGUCUUGAGUGUACAAGAGGUAGGCGGAAUUCGUGGUGUAG